UAAGUUUUUUAGAUAGGCAAACAACCUUUUUGUGAACAUGUAUUAAGACCACACACACAUACUGGAGGACCUAUGCAACACACACACACACAAGAGCACACACGAAUGCUCAACAAAAGAAAAAAAAAACCUGAGUGCACACAUGUGAGCUCACAACACACAUGCAAACGCACGAGCACACACACAGGAUACAUCACGGUCCGGAAGCACGCACCAGACACACUAGUCUUAUUAGUAAUUAUACUUCAUAGUGCUCUUUCUUGAUUUUGACUUUUAUGGAACUCUUCUUUUGAACUUCUGAUUCUGAAUAUCUUCAUAUAAUCACGAGGCCAACAGAUUUGACUGUAUGAACAUUUGAUUAUCUGCACUCUGAACUCUGAAGUAUACUACUGUAGUUCUAGAGCAACCUCUGCCAUUCAGUUAUCUGAACUCUAGCUAAAGUUGUUCAACUUCGUGCCAAAUUGCAGACGAGCACUUACGUGUAGCAGUAGUAGGGGAGCGAAGCUUCAUGACAUGGGCUAAGUGGGGAUGACGACGACAGGUCUUGCAGCCUGCAGCAGCCACAAAAAAGGAGCAUGUACACAAACUCAUGGAUAGUAAAGUCUUCUGCAUUUUUGCGCAAACAUUUUCCUGGUACACAUAUGUGACCUUCUCCCAUGUUUUUAUUUGAACUUAUUUUCAGGAGAAAUUUGCUGCCGUCAAUUUUCUUCACAUAUAUAUAAGGUAAGACAAACAAACUCAUUUUAGCAAAACUAGAUGGUGGUGAGAAAAUUUGUCAUGUUGUCGACAUAGGUACACAAGUAACUGAAUUUUCAUUUGAGGUAAAUUAUGCAAAUACGAGCACACACAAAAACCACAAAAGCAACAUACACUUGACCAUUUUCUAAUGAGUAGCUAUACUGACGCAUUCUUUUUCCAGUUUUAGAUUGUUCAAAUCUACCUACAAGAAUAAUACGUGGACUAAAUUGGAGGGAUAUGAGUUUCAGAAAUGAAAGGAAGUUGCAGCACGCUCCAACUCCAUGAGCAGAAGAAGAACCAGGGGACAACUCGUUAUGCGUUCGAGGUGCGCAUGAGCAGUUGCCGUGGAAGCAACAGAAGCUAGGUGCUGACCGCCGUCGACAGAGGCGAACGUGUGCCAGGUGGGAUCAACCGCGUUGGUACAGUAAACUGCUGCUGGUCCAACCACUGAUCCGUCCGCAGUUCACAUAACGCCCAACCUGCAAUAGAACACGAAGAAAUCAGAGCUACACGAACUUGGAGAAAAGAGCAGCGCAAGGAGUAGUGGCUCUCGCCGGCUGUGUCGAGGCGUGCACACCAGUGGAGUGGAUCGAACGACCGGCACCUUAGGACGAGCGAGGAGGUGUGCAGCUGCAAGGUUAGCUGGGAGAUGGGGGAUCCCGGUCGUGUGCAGCCGAGCCAGGGUAUGUAGUGGCCGGCGGAUGUGCGGCGGUGGGGGUGUGGUGGGGAUCGAGGGCGGCGGCGGGAGGCGAUUUGGGAAUGGAAAGAGGUGC
rnacentral:lncRNA from 1 species